rnacentral:rRNA from 1 species
UAGGGAAUCUUCCGCAAUGGGCGAAAGCCUGACGGAGCAACGCCGCGUGAGUGAUGAAGGUCUUCGGAUCGUAAAACUCUGUUAUUAGGGAAGAACAAAUGUGUAAGUAACUAUGCACAUCUUGACGGUACCUAAUCAGAAAGCCACGGCUAACUACGUGCCAGCAGCCGCGGUAAUACGUAGGUGGCAAGCGUUAUCCGGAAUUAUUGGGCGUAAAGCGCGCGUAGGCGGUUUUUUAAGUCUGAUGUGAAAGCCCACGGCUCAACCGUGGAGGGUCAUUGGAAACUGGAAAACUUGAGUGCAGAAGAGGCAAGUGGAAUUCCAUGUGUAGCGGUGAAAUGCGCAGAGAUAUGGAGGAACACCAGUGGCGAAGGCGACUUUCUGGUCUGUAACUGACGCUGAUGUGCGAAAGCGUGGGGAUCAAACAGG